rnacentral:misc_RNA from 1 species
UCUGAUAUGAAGCUGGUUGUGAGAUAUGCAAGCCAAAGGAAGGUGAAAAUUUAGGUUAGCUAUCAGCUCUCUUCCUUUCACGCGUCCACAACGAAGAAAAGAGAGAUUCACCGUCAGAAAGAGUUCUGAUUUCCUAAAUCCAAUCCAAGGGUAAAAUAUUAAAUAUUUGCGCAAAGGGUGAGCUUCCAAACUAAUAUUACAAAAUGUUAGAUCAAAAGCUGUGUGAAAAUAGUCCACAUCUUGUCUACUUAAGUAAAGUAUGUUCUUCAAGGAAAUUAGAAUCUGUCAGCUGUCAUUACUACAGGUUGUGCUUCACGAGGCUUGCCGGUGAGAUAUGGACCUCUGCUAACAGAUUCCUGCAACUGAACCAGAAAAAAAUGAAAGCAUCAUAAGCUAACAUUUACAAAGAGCAAGUAUUACAGACUCGAUAUUCCCACGUCUAUGUCAGAAAUUCCCUUGUUAAUUUUGAAAAUGUAACGGCACCCUGAGUUUUAUAUUUUGACACAACUUGUAACGUUGCACAGAGAGAACAUUCUCUUCCAACGCUCUUCUCUGCAAUUACUUUCCAGAGACAUUCACAGAUCCCAAACAUAUAAAUGUGCACUGAAUUUGGGACAACUAAAUGUCCAUUUUAGCAAUCAAUUGCAGUUCCUUGUUUGGCAAUACUUCCGAAACAUAGAGAAGGCCAGAAACCAUGACCAAACAUUUUUGGCAUGCACAUCAUGAUAUAGGUGCAACUUCCUACAUAAUUAAUGCCAAGUUGCUUCCCACUUCAACAUGCAGCAUGCAAACCAAAGGUUUGUGCAUUGAGAAUAAAUCUCACCUUGGUAGCAAUUCCAACAAGAGCAGGAUUAGUGCCAAGUUUACCAGAGGCCAUGAAAGCCUUUUGGAUUGCCUUGCAACAAUUAUAUCUAGCUUCCAUACCUGAAAUUUUCCAUUAACUAGAUUUAGCAGUUUUAAGUCCUCCAAGGUUUGAGUACAAAGUGAGCAAAAAGAAAAAGGACUUAACAAUAGCCAAGUUCAAAUGUAAUUGAACUAUAAAUAGAAUUGCAUUUAUUCACUGUAUAAGAGAUGCCAUAGAGACAGAUAAUCAGUUAAGCUUCAAGUCUUCUACUUCCAUGUUUAAAAUAAACCUUGAAAGUUCCAUCAUUAAGGAGACAAAUGCAGAUUUGAAAAGUCAAAGAAUAUUUUGACUAGUUUGAAGAGAAUGUCAUAAUUAUAUUGGAUUACAAUUCUUCACUUUUGGUAUAGGGAAUAAUACUUUUGUGGAUGUUCAUGCUGUCCCAUCCAAUAAAUAUAACAUGACUGAAACUGCUCCCAAUGGACAGAUCCCAUAACAUCAGAAUUCUCAAGGUAGCUUCCAGGCUCACUCACUUAGCUAAGUCUUAAAACUCCUACUUUGUGUCCCACAUCCCACUAUGUUCUCAUGUAUGAACAUGUAUGUAAAAAGCAUAUGGAGGUUACUGAUGAAGCAGUACAUAUGGCUGGAAAAUUCCAGUUCAAUUGCAAAACUACAGGUGUUAAAGAUAAAUAUUAAUUUCUGGCAAAUUGAUUGUAACUUUACUGCUUCUCUAUGCCCAUAGCUUGAAUCCUAGGAAUCCACUUGCUUAUUCUAUUCACCAUUUCCUAGUCACAACUUCCAGGACAUCAAGUCUUCUUGGACUCGCUUUAACAAUGGACCAAGAAGGAAGCAUCGUAAUCCAGAGUUUCAAAGAGAUGGCAACAUGAUUAUUUUAUAAGUUGAUCAAAUUGAAAGUUCAUGUAAUAUGUAUGAGACGAGAAAACUAGCGUGCAAUUAUCAGUUAUCCAGUUCAAAUCAUGUUUAAGGAGGUGCUAUAACAAGCCAGCCACCACUAGUUUCCCGGAAAAUAGAGCAUAGAUAACAAUUAAAACCUAGGUUUCAGCCCCAUACCUGCAUUAACAAGCAACCACACAUAUCCACACCAAAGGACAAAAAAACAAUACAAUAGUUUUAAGCAAUUAUGCACAUCAUAAUAACAGAGAGAGAGAUGAAAAUGGACCUAUUUUUGUGGUUUCAGUAUUUGGAUCGGUUACUAUAUUUACAAUCUCCUGUUUUGAGCAUAUCUCCAUCAGGCACCAAGGCCGAGCCACCAAACCAGUUAUCAUUCUGUAAGCCGCCAAACGAACUUCUGAAUCCUGUUGAAGAACUGAUAAGAAAAGACCUGAUGGUGUCAGCUCUGAAGUCUUGGAUGCCGUUUCAUAGAUCAAGCGUCGAAGAUUUUCUUCUGCAUCAGAAUUAAGCAUUAUGUCGCUCUCCAACCGAGACUCUCCUGAUAUGUUUCCAAGAGAAUGCAAUGCAGCCAACUGAUUGCCACGUGCUUGUCUAUCAAAGGCAGCAUUAAUAACAUGUCUUGCAGCCGGAGGUAACAUACAGAGCAGCAGCAUUGCUCCUGGGAUUGACGAUCCAAUUUGCCCCAAUGCUUCAAGUGCGCAUUCACAUUCGUUCAAAUCUUGACUCGCUGAUUGAAGUCUUCCGUCGAUGGCUGAUACAACAGUUUUAACACCUGAAUUUAAAAGAACUAUUAGUACUGUUAUAAACUAGCAUUGAUCAAUCUUCAAAUAAAUAGAUAUACAAUCGUACAAACUGGAAUACAUAAUAGCUCUCACACUUGGAUGCUCCUAUCAGUAUCCUAAGGAUAUCUUUCUCCCACACGUGCAUGCACAAACAAAAUGAUGAAUUAACAUGUCCAGUCAAAAUAGUUAUGAAAAGGAAGGAAUAAAACUAUACAAAAGACACUUUUGAAUUUCUGAAUAUUCACAAAAAGUUGCACUCUGCAAAAUGAAAUGAAAUUAAAUUGAAUAAAGAACUCUGGAUUACUACAAAUGCAUUUUCUUCAAACAACAAUUUUAUCAACAUCUAGAAAGCUGAGAGUCCAAAACCUAAAAGCAAGCCUUACAAGAUUCAUCAAUGAAUGUGAAUAUAUUUUCCUUGGAUAGAAGCCUUGCACUUAUCAUCAUUGCUCUUGAUCUUAAUAUUGCAUCCAUUGAUGUGUUGCUUCAAAAGAGGAGGGAAAACAAAGAACGAAAAAAGGAGGGGAAAUAUUUUAAAGCAUGCAAGGAUUAAAAUCUAUAUAUAUAGAAAAUACCACUCAAAUAAGCACCUGAUCAUAGACGAAAGAAGUUGGAUAAGAGCGGUCCUUGACAAGAACUCUGUACCAUGCUGGACUUCUGCUAACUUCAUUUGCUCAGCACGUAUAACAAGACAAAACAAUGCACAUUUAAGUAGUGAAAGAACGAAUAUCAAAAUAAAAGCAAUGAAAGAAAAAGAGGCAAGAAAGCUGAAUAAUAUUAAUGGAAAACAAAAUCAUGAAGCAGCAAUGUGCAUGCUGGCUUAAUCAUAAACCAUAGCUAUCUGCUGCUAUUUAUUCACCCAAUGUCUUGGUCAUAAGAAAUCAUAUUGCAGCCAUCAGCAGACCUGAACGUUGCAAAUCACAUGACUCCUUACAUAUAUAUAAUUUACAAAUUUCUUUUGUUUUUAAUUAUUGCAUUGCUAGAAAAUCUGAUAUCAUAUUAUGUUUUGUAAAUUCCAAUUGUCACAUGCACUUUUAUAACUUCAGAAAUCUCUGUGACUGAACAAAUUUCCCUUUCGCAUUGGAAGUCCAGGAAGCAAAUGUUUUAUUAAGAUGUCAUCUUCCACCUAUUCUAGUGUUCUUUACAACUUCUGAGACACACAUGAUCUUUUACGUUACAAGCAUACUUGUCAUGAUUCAACCCUUCCGGUUGGUUCAAUAUUUCAUUAAGCCUUCUGAUUGGUGGAUGAGGUAUCAUAUCUUGUAAAGAGGGGAACCUCCUCAUCUAUACUUCAAAAAUUUGAGAAGAAAUUUUUCCAAAUUCUUCAAAAAAUUUGAAAAGAUUUUUUUUCCAAAUUCUUCAAAUACUUAAAUCAUGCUCAAACCAAAUUUUCAAAUAUCAUUCUAUGUUCAUCUUUAGGCAUUCUCCCAAAUUUCCACCUUAAAACAUGUUUCCACCAACUUUCUUAAAACUGCCUCAUGUUAUCAGCCAAAGUUCUUAUAUUAUCCCAAUUUGCAGAACUGGUUGCCUUUUCCAAUGCCAGUAGCUUUUUCUUCCCCUGAGAUUUUCUUUACUCCUUCCCCAGUCUACUACUUGCCUGUUCACCUAUUCCACAUCCUAAUAUCCAAAAACAAACCCUAACAACUACUAUAACGGAGAGUUCAACCAUACAAUCACUAGGAGCUCCAAUCACUGACCUGUGUUACUGCAAUAUGCAAUUUUAAUUAUGAAUAGUUUGUCAAGUGAUUAUAACACUUGCUUUUUCCCAGUGAACACCUUACAUACAAUGCAAAUGAACAUAAAAACACAAUAAGAUUGUGUCCCUAUAGGAAAUUUGAUUUCUAGUUCAAACUUCAUGAUAAAAAUCUGGACUUACAAAUGAUAAGGGAAUUAGAAACAUACUUCAACCAAAUUUAAAGCAUGAAAUUCAACUGAGGCCUUCUCAAUAAGCAUUUAAAAUUCAUUCUCCAAAGCAAAUUUUCAAUCAAAUAUAGGAAUCUAUGUAAUUUGAAUCUCAUCAUCGCUUCAUUUCAAAUCCCUACUUUGUCUAAACAGAACCCAAGGGAACACGGGGAGGAGGGCAACUGUAUAAAAAGUAGUCGAGCAAUAGCAAACCUCAUAAAAGAGCUCCAAAACAUUUAAAGUUGCUAGGGUAUCAUCUGAAUUUCUGACUUCUGCCUCCAACAAACUAAGUAGGUUUGAAUUGUAAACUGCUGAUGCCACAUCGACAGAAACAGAGAAUAGUUUCACUAUUAAAGAAAAAAUCCGGAUACGUCCCAAUGAUGAACACCGGGCAGAUAAAGUUCUGAGAUGUGUAAUGUUGCCAUUAUUUGCUGGGAAGAUGACCUCCAUGCCCUCUGGAAAGCCAGCUGAUAUCUUAAUUGCCUCCAUUGAUGCACUUGCCACUUGUUCAUUACCAUUUACGAGACAAUCAAGCAGAAGAGGAUGAAUGUCAUGGUCAAUGAUUAGCUGUGCAGGUGAGAUGGUUUUAUCAUUAAAAUUUUCCAGAAGACAAGCAACCGUUUUGCAAGCUAGACAUCUGACCAGUUGAGAAUCUGCCCUCAAACCAAGUUGCACAAAAGACAUAUACUGUGGGAUAAGAGAUGCACCAUAUUUUGUCUUAAAGAUUCUUUCUAGACAAGCAACCAAAGUAUUCUCCAAACCAGGCACACCUGCUUUUGUUUGUAAAGCACUGAUAACGACAGGAAGGGGAAAACGAUCAAGAAAAUCCUUUGCUGCGGCGUCGUUUUGAACACCUGGAUAAUAAGCAAACUCAGAAGCGGAAUCGAGUAAAGGAGUAGGAUCCUCCAUUGCGUAUUCUUCGUCCAUAGCUUUGCCUUGCUCUUCCCUUUUCUUU